GAGACUUUGUGCCAUCAUCUGAACAAGAGCACGGAUAGCAUGGAGGUUUCUCUCGCCAAGCAGAUUCUUCGAGAACCCUCUCCACAAUUCCUCGCUGCCGGCCCCUACCCUCUCUUUCGCAGCGUCUUUUCCCGGCGACCGCCGGAGUUGAAUUGGGCGAGGGUCCCGUCUCCUGUAUAGCUGUAUUUGUAGUUAAGGUCUUGAUAAAUCUGAUUUGGGUUGAGCUUUCCCUGGCGUCUCUCCUUCCAGAUCUGGCCGUGCAGACCGUCGGAGAGGGAGACAUGGCGGCGGUUGCUUCCUUGUCCAAGUUCCUCACUCUCCUGUCUUUCUACUCCCCAUGAGAACUAUCACCCCAAAACUGAGAUGAGCCCAUCCCCCGCACGAUCGGGCGCGAUCCUUCGUUUCCUCUAUGCCGCAUCAUCCUACGGGGAAAGAUGGCCGUGUUCGUCCAGGCCAGCGCUCCCGGCCACCCGGCAGGAGGUCUAGGUUGCCUUUGCCGAUGCAUCAACCUGCGGGCGCUCCGCUGGCGCGGCGUGCCCAAUGCAGGUGUACGCCGGGUAUUCCCGUGUUUAUCCGAUGGCAGCGCAAUCACCGGCACAGCGUGUCGCAUUGUCUUCCUCAACGAUUGCCACGGCGCUGCUGUCGUAUUCGACCUCCUCACUUCGCCGCUGUGAUUCUAUCCGCUGGGAGGCCAAUUACCUGAUGGGAGACAACCAGACGGGGAGAACGAUUGCUUGAAGAGCCUUAGGCAGUCUGCUCUCACAAGGAAAUGCAAAGGUAAUUUCACAAGAGAAGUGGUGAUGGCGAGGCUCUGCCACGGCAACCUUGUUCGCCUCCUUGCGUACUACAAUGAAGGAGACAAGUGGAUAUCCACUCAUCUAUGGCUACAUGUUGAACAACAUCAUGGAUCUCUACAUAUUUGAUUGUGCAUAUGUGGAGAAGCAUGUAUGAUUGCCCUCAGGUUUAGAACAUAUUGCAUAACAAGCCAUUCUCCUUGGCAACCGACCUAGAAGUGAGGUCACAAUUGACACCCCUUGUCGUCCAACUUCCGGCACUUGAAGUCUCUGUGCGACAAAAUUAUGCUUGCCAUCUGAUCACCUUGCCGCAUGGUGAGAAGAUAGAUUAAGUUGGAGUUCGAGAGCUAAUAUUGUUGGCACAAAUGUUUUGAGCAAACAACUAAAAGAAGGGUAUACUAUGCUUUGCAGAUGGAAAAUGAUUCCACGGCCUCAUAUAUGCCUAUGGUAUAUGUAACUAAGCAUGAAUCAAUUUUUUUUCUCUUCAUGGUGCUAUUGCAUGCAGCAUGCUUGUGCAUAUUUAUCAAAGUAUUCAGUUGAACACUUCUACUUCAUUCUUGUUUGUUCUUGAAAGUGUGCUCAAGCAACCGUAAGUAUGUUAUUUGGAUAUAUUAAUUGUGUGGGCUGGAGGUGGAGCCUGUGUUAACCAAAA